GCUGUCGGUCAUACUGCGUCGAAUACACCGGAUCCCUUCAGACCUCCGAAGUUAAGCGGCGCAAGGCCCGGUUAGUACUUGGGUGGGGGACUCCCAGGGAAUACCCUCGGGUGCUGACAGCU
rnacentral:rRNA from 13 species